rnacentral:rRNA from 1 species
GUAAGGGAUAUUGCGCGAAUGGGCGAAAGCCUGACGCAGCAACGCCGCGUGCGGGAGGACAGCCUUCGGGUUGUAAACCGCUUUUCUGGGUGAAGAGGCAGGACGGUAGCCCAGGAAGAAGUCUCGGCUAACUACGUGCCAGCAGCCGCGGUAAAACGUAGGAGGCGAGCGUUAUCCGGAUUUACUGGGUGUAAAGCGCGUGCAGGCGGUGGAGUAAGUUAUGCGUGAAAGCGCCUGGCUCAACCGGGCGAGGACGUGUGAAACUACUCGACUAGAGGCAGGGAGAGGCGUGUGGAAUUCCGGGUGUAGUGGUGAAAUGCGUAGAGAUCCGGAGGAACACCAGUGGCGAAGGCGACACGCUGGGCCUGGCCUGACGCUCAGACGCGACAGCAUGGGGAGCGAACGGGAUUAGAAACCCCAGUAGUCC